UGGAUUAGUGGCGAACGGGUGAGUAACACGUGGGUAAUCUGCCCUGCACUCUGGGAUAAGCCUUGGAAACGAGGUCUAAUACCGGAUAUGACACACGGAGGCAUCUCCUGUGUGUGGAAAGUUCCGGCGGUGCAGGAUGAACCCGCGGCCUAUCAGCUUGUUGGUGGGGUAGUGGCCUACCAAGGCGACGACGGGUAGCCGGCCUGAGAGGGUGACCGGCCACACUGGGACUGAGACACGGCCCAGACUCCUACGGGAGGCAGCAGUGGGGAAUCUUGCGCAAUGGGCGAAAGCCUGACGCAGCAACGCCGCGUGGGGGAUGACGGCCUUCGGGUUGUAAACCUCUUUCGACAGGGACGAAGCUUUCGGGUGACGGUACCUGUAGAAGAAGCACCGGCUAACUACGUGCCAGCAGCCGCGGUAAUACGUAGGGUGCGAGCGUUGUCCGGAUUUAUUGGGCGUAAAGAGCUCGUAGGCGGUUUGUCGCGUCGGCCGUGAAAACCUGCAGCUUAACUGUGGGCGUGCGGUCGAUACGGGCAGACUUGAGUUCGGCAGGGGAGACUGGAAUUCCUGGUGUAGCGGUGAAAUGCGCAGAUAUCAGGAGGAACACCGGUGGCGAAGGCGGGUCUCUGGGCCGAUACUGACGCUGAGGAGCGAAAGCAUGGGGAGCGAACAGGAUUAGAUACCCUGGUAGUCCAUG
rnacentral:rRNA from 1 species